ACUUGAAUAGCUUAUUUAGAGCGCGACGCUGAAGAUGUCGAUGAGGUGUAUUUAUUGCCUUUAAGUA
rnacentral:tRNA from 1 species